rnacentral:rRNA from 1 species
CACGUAGUUAGCCGGCGCUUCUUCUGCAGGUACCGUCACUUGCGCUUCUUCCCUGCUGAAAGAGGUUUACAACCCGAAGGCCGUCAUCCCUCACGUGGCGUCGCUGCAUCAGGCUUUCGCCCAUUGUGCAAUAUUCCCCCACUGCUGCCUCCCGUAGGAGUCUGGGCCGUGUCUCAGUCCCAGUGUGGCCGGUCGCCCUCUCAGGCCGGCUACCCGUCGACGCCUUGGUAGGCCAUUACCCCACCAACAAGCUGAUAGGCCGCGAGCCCAUCCCCCCACCGAAAAACCUUUCCAACACCCACCAUGCGGUAAGUGCUCGUAUCCGGUAUUAGACCUCGUUUCCAAGGCUUAUCCCGAAGUGGAGGGCAGGUUGCUCACGUGUUACUCACCCGUUCGCCACUGAUCCACCCAGCAAGCUGGGCUUCACCGUUCGACUUGCAUGUGUUAAGCACGCCACCAGCGUUCGUCCUGAGCCAGGAUCAAACUC